CUCGCUUCUCGGCCGUUUGGCUAAGAUUAAGUGUAGUAUCUGUUCUUACCAGUUCAUAUCGGGGGAUUGGGCACCACUAAUGUGGGACUAGUGUGGAGGGGUGCUGCGUGGAGGAGACAGGUGUACCAGGGUGUUUCGGGGCUGGUUUUGAGGAAUCAGCUCAAUGGCUGCCCGAUGUGACUUGUU